rnacentral:tRNA from 1 species
GCCAGCAUGUUGUAGUGGUUUGAGCAUUGGAUUAUGACUCUGGAGACCAGGGUUCAAAUCCCAGUUUGGCC